rnacentral:tRNA from 1 species
GCGGCAGUCGUCUAGUUUGGUCUAGGACAUCAGCCUGCCACGCUGGUAAUCCCGGGUUCAAAUCCCGGCUGCCGCA